rnacentral:tRNA from 1 species
CAGAAAAUAGUUUAAUAAGAAUAUAAAUUUUGGGGAUUUGUGGUAAUGAUAAAUUUUUUCUGA